AUUGAACGCUGGCGGCAUGCCUUACACAUGCAAGUCGAACGGUAACGCGGGGGUAACCCUGGCGACGAGUGGCGAACGGGCGAGUAAUACAUCGAACGCACCCAGUAGUGGGGGAGUAGCUCGGCGAAAGCCGGAUUAAUACCGCAUACGACCUAUGGGUGAAAGCGGGGGAUCGCAAGACCUCGCGCUAUUGGAGCGGCCGAUGUCGGAUUAGCUAGUUGGUGAGGUAAAGGCUCACCAAAGGCUACGAUCCGUAGCUGGUCUGAGAGGACGACCAGCCACACUGGGGCU
rnacentral:rRNA from 1 species